CUUUCGAAGAACAGAACGGGUCCGCCUCGUUCUAGCACAAAGUGUUCCUCGACGCGGUUCGUGUUCUGCCGUGGUUUAUCGACAACCUGUCGCCCUACCUGAGGAUGACGUUCAAAGUGCUCGCCCUUUUCUCUUCCGCGCGCUCUGACGAAGUUAUUUUACGUGGCUGUAACAGGAACCGAACAGCCAAUCUCGAUCUUGCUGAGCGAGAGGCUCGCACAGAAACGAGCAUGUGUGACGUCGACGGGGCAACCUUUUUGUCACCGUGGUGCGGUUAUGGUCGCGUGCCGGACCGGAAUCCGUCUCUCUUGCUCUUCAGUCAGCUUCCCUUCUUUCCUGCACGUCGUGGACAGGUCCAACCUGCGUGCAGAGGAGGGUCAAUCGAGGAUUAACCUGGUUACCCCCGGGGGAUGAUACAGGAAAUGACCGUAGACGCAGGUGCCUUCCGGUUUUCUGCGAAGCGACGUUGGGACAGCGGCCCGUCGAUCGGACUUUUUGGUUUUAAUUGGGAGUUAAGAAUCUUCGUUCGUCUCUGUUCACGGGAAAUCCGAGGCACGGACGUCGCUUUCAGAGGACACUGGAAAGGGAGGGACUCGAAGGGACAGGACUUGGUUGAAAAUCGUCGUGACGUGAAUCGGUGCUACGGUUUCGUGAAAAAUAUAGAACCAGCGGAGAAUUUCGCCCCGGCAGACCGAUUCCGACAUUCGACAAGCGUGGUGCUGAUCUUCUCUUCAGAUAUGCUUCGCCUUGGAACGAAACUUCUGCUUGUUCUUGCUUCGAAUGAUUCUCGGCAACCCUUCGGUUAAAAGCGUUUGCGUAGGUGCGUCGCCUUUCGGAUUUGAAGCACCUUGUAAAAAGCCAGCAGAACAGCGUCGAAGGAUGCACCCCUUUGGACCGAAUUUUCAGAAAACUGAGGAGACGAAGACGAAAGGACGAAAGAAGACGGGUGGAGAAAAAGAGGGAACGGUGAAUCGACGCCGACAUUAUGGAAGCCUCCGUUACAAGGUCGUAACUUAGCCACUUUAGAGUUUCUCGGUUCGUGGCACGCCAUUAGGCGUCCUCUUCAGAAAAAUAAAUCUUCCCUUCCAGGAAUUCCACGCAGACUUCGGGAACCCGAAGUCCUGGGACUGAGCACGCAUAGUCGACACCCCCGCGUCGAGGAAAAUGGACUCGUCCAGCAGGGGUGGCUACUGCUAACCCCCUCCACCAUUCGUUUCUCCCUUCCUCUUACGAUCUUGCUCCGGUUCCACCAAGGGCGGCUCGAAUUUGUUCGAAACCCUGACGCGUCGAUCCUGUUACCUUCAGGAGCAACCAUUCCUUUCUUUUUAAAUAUCUAAAAAAAAAGGUACAAAAUAUACUGCUCCAUAAGAGAUAUACUUUAUCCCGCAAUAACACUGUCUUCUUGAAGUUGCCGAUGCGAGUACUUCUCACGAAAUACUUUUGCAUUUUUAUACUCUAAUACGUGUACGAAAUUUGCAGGCAUUUGGAGUCGAGGAAGCCGAAGAAACGAAAUCCAAGGAGAUCCGAUUCUCAGACGGAGAGAACGCCGGGGAGAAAAGCGAGGAACGAGAAAAGAAAACAAUCCGAAUCCGGCUGCGUAGCUGUCAUCAAAGACGUCCCGUCACGAUUGCGAGUCACGAAGAAACCGAACGAAUCCACAUUAAAAGAGCCGAGAAGAUGAGCGAGCGAUACGGGAAACGAAGAAAGCGGCCGGUAAUCGUCGUCCUCCAGUGAACCGUUUCGCGAGAAGAAUCCGAGUGGACGGCUCGACAAAAGCGACGGAGUUUUACACAAAAUUUUAUUCGACUCAUUGCUGUCCACGGAAUGAUCUCCGUUUCCUCGUGAAAGCUGUUGCUCGAUCGCAAAUAUAAUUCAAACGUAAGUCAUACUUUCAUUUUAUACCAAAUCUUCCCUCACUUUUGGUCAUAGUUAACUAACAGAACGUCUGGUUUCACUUACAUGAGUCGUCAUCGGUUCAAUACGAAACCCUGCAAAUCGACCAGUAAUUCUCACCGAUCGAACGACGAACGAGGAUCCUGCUCACCUUCCAUUGGUUAAUCCUAAACAAUUUAUCCGAGAAUUUGGUCCACGUCGGUUGAAAAGGAACAUUGCGCUCCUCUGGCCUACGCGAACCGUUUCCAAACGCUGAAUGGACGCGGAACGCAUACAAUCGGCGCAUUGUAGCGUUCCUGGGAGAGCUUCGAGCUCUCUCGAUGCACCUACGGGAAUAAUAUUUACUUCCGGCCGUUCGACAUCCGGCCUGCUCGUAACACUCGUCCUCGAGGGUAACACGAAACCGUGACGGCUACGUGGAAUGGUUUUUCCCGGUUCGACGGACUGUUUCGCGACGGGGUGUUUGCUCGAGGUUGGAGGAGGUGGACGAAGGAAGAAGAAAAAAAAUUGCGGCUUUCCAUUGACGAGGCGUAGACCGCAACCAGGAAUCGAAAGGGGAAGAAAUUAUACGUUCCGCGUUUAAUCGAAUUCGAGAGCCGACAGGGAAGGAACGCGCGCCGCAAAUUACGCGACGAUGAGUUCCCUUUUUUUCUCUCCCCUUCUCCCGGGGUGUCGAGGCGAGAACAACCCUUUUUCCUCGGGUUUCUGGGUGUCCGCGGGGUGCAACUGUUGCGUUCCCUUUGGAUUGCCGGUGGUCGAGCUUUGUUGGCGAGCAGGGAAGACGCGAGCUGCGCGACGAUCGUAAUUUGGGCCAGGUUUGAAAUUUAAUCGCGCCUGGAGACCUGGAGACUUGAAUGCCUGCGCGAGCGGCGAGAGUGCGCGCUCGACAACUAUGUAUAAUAGGUUUCCGUCGUUCGAGCGCUGGUGGGCUUGAUAUUUUUUAGCGGAGAUAUUAGUUGUGUUUGCAUUGAGCGUGCAUGCAUCCGAAGUCCAGCUUUCACUUAUACACAUAUCUACGUUUUCUUUACGAUAAGUUGAUACAAUUCACGCAUGAAUAUCUUCUCAAUAUCAAUCGUUAUUUUUACUUCCAGCCAUUGAUUUCUCCAGAAAUAGUCGUUGCAAGCGAUUCGAUAAUGACAAGACGGGGGACUCGAAACACGGAAAAGUAGAAGUUUUCACCCGGUUGACCUCGAUGUGGCAACGGCACGAUAAUUAGGCGACCUUGAUCGAACGGGGCAAGCCACGAUUGUUGGCGAGGCGAAACAUCGAAAAGGCGGCGGAACGGAAAUACGAGAAACGACGAGUGAGAGAAACGAUCGAGUAAGGUCCAUUUACUGUUGGCUGUUGCAAAAAGCAUUGAUGAUCCCUCCAGGCACAAAGAGCAAUGAUAGAGAGCAACAGAUAAGUGCAAUUCGAGUUGCAAAACGUUGCGGGCCAUGAGGAGGGCAUUACGGCCGCUCGCAAAUUACCUAGCCGGUAAUCAUAAUGCGAUCGUAAUGCAACGCGAAUGGCUUGAUUUCGAGCGCGAGCCUCGCCAUUGCGAGAUAAGCCGCGGUCAUUAUGCGAAAUUAGCGAUUAUCGGAGGUAAUUCGUAAUUAUUAUUCGUCGUAAUAUAGAUUCGCUGAGACCACGCCGAGGAACGUUUAUAAAAUCAUUAAACCGAAGAGGCAAUGGUAUAUGAAAGAAUUAGAAAACGUUUCUUAAUUUUAUUAUUUUUAUUAUUACAAAAAUUUAUCUACCUUCGUUACACGCGAAUAUUUUAACCCUCUAUGGGCCCCAUGUAUCUUUCAGAUCACGUAUCGAGGUUCAAACGGUAUUGUUUCGUCAAAUAAUUCUAGUUUCUUUCACAAGCUGACGUAUAUGUCUUAAAAUAUUAAAUUAAGCCUUUGCAAGUUGUUUGCAGACAACCAAAUUUGGCGCAUAGAAAUUUUGCACACCUUUGGACGUCGCAACUAGUCUCGGCGACGCCACUGCUGGGAAGAAACGCGGCGUGACCCGUAAAUUCUGCGCUGGGAAUUUCAACGAGGAGACAAGCGAGAAGCGAUCGUCAAACAUUCACCGCGAUAAGUGACGGUGCUUGCGUAUCGUUGCGGUGCAAUUUGGUUAAACGCUAAGGUGUCGGAUGAGUUCUUGGUAUUCUUACUGGUGUUGGAAUAACGUUAUUACGUUGUUAUAUUCUACAUCAUCAGUGCAGCUGUUGCUGUAUUAUUUAUAUUAGCGACUAGAAACUUCACGCGAUACCGGAUAAUUUAAGUUUUUCACCUCAAAAGAUACAUACGUACUACUAUUGUACAACCCUAGCUAUACUUCGCGAAGCACCCUCUAUAGAGUACAACCCCUCUGGUAAAGCAACACAAUGGCGUAGCAAUAUUUUUCUGCACAUUAUGCCGUCUCUCCCGUGAAUCUUUGAUACAGUGACGACCGGGGAAACGCCUGUUCCCGAAUGGAAGGGAAAAUACGAAAAGCAGGGAAGCGUAGGCGAGCAUAAAUUGCAGUCGUCACGUGUUGUUCGCGGACGAACGUUUUCGGGGUGGUUAGUACGCGCGGUGGGACCGUGGAAAAGGAGACGAAGGAACUUCUUGGUAGGAAACGAGAGGGCAAAAGAAUUGAAAGAAAGAACCGGGGACCUUGGAAGGCCCGCGUGCACCUAUACAAACAGGUCCCGCUGAAAAGCAAAUAUUUUGUUGUGAUGCAAGAAUUCACAACAUUAAUGGGGGCCCCUGAAAGUGCAGCGCACCCCAAGCGAUUAGAGUGGACAGAAAAUGAACUUUGAUUUUGUCUUGGCGUUUCUUUCACCGUGGCCAACGAUAAUAAUCGAAAAGAAAAAGAAAACGAGGUGGAUGAGGUACGCUUCUCUUCUUCUUCUUUUUCUUCUUUAUUAAAUUCCAAUAAUUAUAUUCUCGUUUAUAUUGGUUCGUCUGGAAAGUCUACGCGAAUUUUUAAUAGGUGAUACAGGUCUGAAUGUAUCGGAAUGGUUGAAAACAAA